CACAGAAAUGAGAAGGUUUUCAUUGGGAAGGAAGACCUCUGGAUUCAGUCACAUUUGAAGACUGCCAUGGAAGCUGAAGGGCUAGAUGGAGAGACCUGUUUAAUUUACUUCAUCUUAAGCAUUUUUUCUGUAUACCCAGAGAGUGAGAAAUUAUCCAGGAAAUGAUCGCUUUACAGAUGUACAACUGUUACUAAAAACCAUGAUGCAUUGUGUGUGUAUACUGUAUUGUACACUGAAUAUACUGUGAUUAAUGUGAAGUGUAACAUUGUGUAAACUGAAAAGAUGUCAUCUGUAAAAGCUGUCUUGAUGAUCUAUUUAAAGUGAAAAUGCUUGCAUAACAUCAUAGGUUGAAGAGUCGUCACGCCAAAAUGACAAGCAGGAAAAACUUGAUUCACACACCCUGUCAGAGAAUUUAUUUUUUCGAGUCCGCCCUGGGCGUGUGCCGUACCAGCCCUGUUAACCUCAUGAAAAACAGGUACAUUUGAAUGCAAACUCAUUUGAAAGGACUUUUAUAACACAAGUGAAUAGAAGCUCCCAGCGUACAAACAAGAUUGUGCGAGAAGAAGGAUUGUCGUUUGCGUCCUCUGUUCUCUUUUACAGUACGUGACAGAACUGUGAUUGAGGAUUUUAAUUUCUUCUCAUUCAAUUUCAUGAAGACAAAACUGUGAAGGACUGAGGAAAAGAAGGUUGAACGCAACAAGGAGAAGUCUGAGGGCACUCUGACAGAAAAGGUCUGAUCUGAAGACUGGGCCAUGGAGGAGGAUUACAGGAAACAGUUGCCGGACUAUCCUGAUAUUAUUACACAGCAGCACACCAGCAACACCCACCAGAGCUACUCGGCUGAUAAGAAGCAGGGAGGAGGUGGCUGCAUGCGAUGCUGCGGGAGUACCAAGAGAUGUCUGAUGAGUGCUGAGUGCGGCCGGUGUCUUAACAUCGCCAGCGUUGUUGCCAUGUGCGGCAUGUGUAUCCGAAUGUUCGUGUAACACAGUUUCCCGCAGACCAUCUCCGCCGUGGAUGAGAAAGAGACCAAGACAUUAUUUAGCUCUGUUCAAGGCAGUGAACUGCCUGCUUAAACAACAUUUAUGUAUAUUCUCACAAACAAGUCAGGCCUAAGCAGAUGUUCACAGAAAAUGUAAUCCCAGAAUGCAUUACGAGGUACUAUAUGUGACCCUAGACAACAAAACCUUAAGGGUCCAUUUUUCAAAAUUGAGAUGUUAUCAUAAUCUGAAAACCGAAAAAAAACGUACUGCAUUGAUGUAUGGUUUUAACGAUCAGAAAAUAUUUUGCAGAGAUACAACUAUUUAAAAAUAUUCGUUUUCUGUAAUUUGACGGAUACUUCGAAAAUAUAUGUAACCCAUGUCAAAGAAAUUCCAUACAAUUACAGUCUUUUACAUAAUACGUGAAAAAUCUGUAAAAAUGACGGUAACUUUCUGUAAAAUGAAAUUGUAAAAAAAUGACAGUACACAAGGCUUUUGUCAUGACCGUAUACCCGUACAAUGUAGAUAAAUUUCCCUUAUUGUCUUCGUUAAUACUUCAGGAAGAAAACAGUGUUUACUAUUUAUAUUGAUAAUUGUUUUUGGUGGUUGUUGUUAAAAUAAACUUUGAAUUGAAUUAAAUGACUCUAAA